rnacentral:rRNA from 1 species
AUUGAACGCUGGCGGCAGGCCUAACACAUGCAAGUCGAGCGGGGGUAGCAAUACCUUAGCGGCGAACGGGUGAGGAAUGCUUGGGAAUCUGCCUGGUAGUGGGGGAUAACGUUCCGAAAGGAACGCUAAUACCGCAUACGUCCUACGGGAGAAAGGGGGGGAUCUUCGGACCUCUCGCUAUCAGAUGAGCCCAAGCGGGAUUAGCUAGUUGGUGAGGUAAAGGCUCACCAAGGCGACGAUCCAUAGCUGGUCUGAGAGGAUGAUCAGCCACACUGGAACUGAGACACGGUCCAGACGGCUACGGGAGGCAGCAGUGGGGAAUAUUGGACAAUGGGCGAAAGCCUGAUCCAGCCAGGCCGCGUGUGUGAAGAAGGCCUUCGGGUUGUAAAGCACUUUAAGCGAGGAGGAAGGUUCGUCACCUAAUACGUGACGGAAUUGACGUUACUCGCAGAAUAAGCACCGGCUAACUCUGUGCCAGCCGCCGCAGUAACAC